CCCUAUUAUUUAUGAUGUAAAUUAUUUAAACCUGAGUAGUAUUAGAUAUGUUCUUGAAACUUAAAGAAUUUGGCGGUAUUUUACUCCUUUCAGAGGAAUCUGUCCCGUAAUCGAUAGUCCGCGUUGGACCUUGCUUAAUUUUUGUUUGUAUACCGCCGUUAUAACGAAGAUCUUUUUAGGGUUGUAAUUUUCUUGAUUUCUUGUUUGAUAAUAUUUCAGGUCAAGGUGCAAUUUAUAAUUAAGUGGAGAUGGAUUACAUUUAAAUUUAUUAUUGGAUUGUUGGUUGAAAUUUACUAACAUAAAAUUGGAUUUGAUAGUAAUUUGUUGCAGAUUGUACAAAUGGUAUUGGCUCUAUAAUAUGUACACAUCGCCCGUCGCUCUCGUUAUUUAGGCGAGAUAAGUC
rnacentral:rRNA from 1 species